AGUGAACGCUGGCGGUAGGCCUAACACAUGCAAGUCGAACGGCAGCACAGUAAGAGCUUGCUCUUACGGGUGGCGAGUGGCGGACGGGUGAGGAAUACAUCGGAAUCUACUUUUUCGUGGGGGAUAACGUAGGGAAACUUACGCUAAUACCGCAUACGACCUACGGGUGAAAGCAGGGGAUCUUCGGACCUUGCGCGAUUGAAUGAGCCGAUGUCGGAUUAGCUAGUUGGCGGGGUAAAGGCCCACCAAGGCGACGAUCCGUAGCUGGUCUGAGAGGAUGAUCAGCCACACGGGAACUGAGACACGGUCCAGACUCCUACGGGAGGCAGCAGCGGGGAAUAUUGGACAAUGGGCGCAAGCCUGAUCCAGCCAUACCGCGUGGGUGAAGAAGGCCUUCGGGUUGUAAAGCCCUUUUGUUGGGAAAGAAAAGCAGCAGGUUAAUACCCCGCUGUUCUGACGGUACCCAAAGAAUAAGCACCGGCUAACUUCGUG
rnacentral:rRNA from 1 species